CCGACCUUCUAAAGGAGCAACUUUUAUUCAAUGUCGGCCUAAACCCUCUCAACCCUGCCAAUAUUUUUUCUUUCUCAAGUCAUUCGCAGCUUUCUCUUUCUCUUGUUCUGUUUCUAAGCUGUGCCGAUCUUUUUUCAUUGCAGAUAUGGAUGCAGACGCAGCUCAGAUACUAGCCAAGGGUCUCAAGGCCCAUAAGAAGAAAGGCACCGCAACUUCUGGGUCGGCGAAGAAGG
rnacentral:lncRNA from 1 species